AUGCAAGUCGAGCGGCAGCAGGCAAACUAGCUCGCUACUUUUGCCGGCGACCGGCGGAUGGGUCAAUAAUGCCUGGGAAAUUGCCCAGUCUAGGGGGAUAACAGUUGCAAACGACUGCUAAUACCGCUAACGCCCUACGGGGGAAAGCAUGGGACCUUCCGGCCUUGCACGAUUGGAUAUGCCCAUGUGGGAUUAGCUAGUUGGUGAGGUAAUGGCUCACCGAGGCGACGAUCCCUAGCUGGUCUGAUAGGAUGAUCAGCCACACUGGAACUGAGACACGGUCCACACUCCUACGGGAGGCAGCAUUGGGGAAUAUUGCACAAUGGGGGAAACCCUGAUGCAGCCAUGCCGCGUGUGUCAAGAAGGCCUUCGGGUUGUAAAGCACUUUCGGCGAGGAGGAAAGGUCAUUAGCUAAUACCUGCUGGCUGUGACGUUACUCGCAGAAGAAGCACCGGCUAACUCCGUGCCAGCAGCCGCGGUAGUACGGAGGGUGCAAGCGUUAUUCGGAAUUACUGGGCGUAAAGCGCACGCAGGCGGUUGGAUAAGUUAGAUGUGAAAUCCCCCGGCUCAACCUGGGAAUUGCAUUUAAAACUGUCCAUCUAGAGUCUUGUAGAGGUCCGUCUAAUUCCAUGUAUAGCGAUGAAAAUCUGGUAGAAAUACUGGAGGAAUACCG
rnacentral:rRNA from 1 species